UGGCCACUGGUGGUGACGAAGGAGCGAGCCCCCUCUCCAGCGAUUUCGCUCCUCCGCGAUAUCUGGGGGCUGGACGCGAAGCUGCUUUGGGGGCUGCAGCCAUAGACAUUGCUACUGCCAAGGUUCUUAGUGCUGAUGCCAUCCUAAGCUGGAUAUCCUGAGAGUUGGUGACAAUUUCCAAAGCUUGAGAGACUUGUGGAAAUCUACGUUGAGCCACCAGUUGUCCGGGAGGGGACCUGUAUCAACUUCUGGGAGGAGAUGAUCGCUGCCUACCGUGAAGAUCGAGAGAGACCUGAAAUGAAUUCUUCUGACUGAACUCUGAGAUGACAGUUGAAGAUCCCUUCAAGAAUACCACAAAAUUGUUCGUGUUUUCAUGUUUUAACAAUUGGCCUGUCAAAAGUAAUGGAGAUAUGAUUAGUUUCAAGAUGGAUACGGAUGAACUCAAGGUGACUGAGUUCACCCCGACUGGACCAGGUCUGGGGUGAUGACUGCAGCCCUCACACAACAACGGAUUCUCAAUAAUGCUUCUUCUUCGUCAGGGCCGAAAGUCUAAAGAUCUUGGUUAAGUAUGUUUCUCCUGUGAGAAAAGGCGCUCCCAAAGGAAUUUCAAAAGGUCUCCCUUCUGUCACCAACAGACCAACCGGCUCAGGAGCCACAAGCUCCUUCCUCUCCAGCUUCAGGACGGGAAGCAAGUGCAGUUGACCAUUGCCAGUUCCCAAGCUCUCCUUUCUCCGUCACCACAUUCCAGAAUCGCUUCUCUAGUGCUCCUUGCUCGCACCCAUGUUAGCCUCUGCAAACCAACUCUCAACUACACUUAAAGUCGUUCCUUUUUCUGUUAUUUCUACUCUAACAGCACAGAGAAUGGAACGUAACACACAGCAAUCAUAACGUGCAGAUAUUCCUUACAAGUCUCUCUGAUAAAGGCCUCGUUUCUUGAAUACUUAGAGAAAAGAGCUGAAUAGAGAAGAAUACAAGUAACUGACAAACUGAUAAAUGGUCAAAGGACAUGAAUAAGCAGCCAACAAACAAAAUAAUUCAAGCUUUCUCGUCAUGCAAAGGUGAUCUGUAUCACUGCUAAUUAGAGAAAUAGAAAUGCAAACAGAAAAGGAAAAACUGGACGGUUAGGGGAUAUGGGGAUGUAGGGCAGGGGAUAUGGGAAAUCUGGGUCGCAAAUACAUGGUUGGGGUUACAUCACUUGUGAACUGAUUCAACCAGUCAUUAGAUAUAUAUGCACAAAAGGCUAUAAAACAGUAUUUGCACUUUGACCCAGCAAUACCAUUACUCAGUAUCUAUCCCAAAGAGACAAAAAAAAAUAGGGAAAGGCUAUAUGUGUACAAAAAUAUUUAAAGCAGUUCUUGUUAUCAGAGCAAAAACCUGGAAAGUGAGAGAGAAUGACCAUCAAUUGGGGAAUAGCUGAGUACAUUACAGUAUGCAAUCAUAGCAGAAUGCAAUUGUGCCAUAAGAAAUGACAAGCAGGAGGAUCUCUGAAAAAUGUGGAAAACCUUUUAGGAACUGAAGAACCAGGAAAACAUCAUAUAAUGACAGGAACGCUUUACAAUGAACAACUGUGAAUAACAACUAUUCUCAACAAUAGAGUGAUCCAAAACUAGCCAAAAAGACAAAAAAAAUACCAUCUACUUCAAGAGAAAAAGAACUGAGUCAGAAUCCAGACCAACUUUUUUAACUUUCUUAAUUUUUUUCUAUUAAAAUUUUCUUCCACAA